AGAGUUUGUUCCUGGCUCAGGAUGAACGCUAGCGGCAGGCCUAACACAUGCAAGUCGAGGGGCAGCGGGGGUGAAGUUUACUUCACCCGCCGGCGACCGGCGCACGGGUGAGUAACGCGUAUGGAACCUGCCCGCCACGGGGGAAUAAUCGGGAGAAAUCCCGUCUAAUGCCCCGUAUGCCCACGUGUCCGCACGGACGAGUGGGGAAACCUAUUGGGGUGGCGGAUGGCCAUGCGUCGCAUUAGCUAGUUGGCAGGGCAACGGCCCACCAAGGCGACGAUGCGUAGGGGUUCUGAGAGGAAGGUCCCCCACAUUGGUACUGAGACACGGGCCAAACUCCUACGGGAGGCAGCAGUGAGGAAUAUUGGUCAAUGGGCGAGAGCCUGAACCAGCCAAGCCGCGUGAGGGAAGACGGUCCUAUGGAUUGUAAACCUCUUUUGUCGGGGAACAACGGGCGCCACGUGUGGCGCAUUGAGGGUACCCGAAGAAAAAGCAUCGGCUAACUCCGUGCCAGCAGCCGCGGUAAUACGGAGGAUGCGAGCGUUAUCCGGAUUUAUUGGGUUUAAAGGGUGCGCAGGCGGUCUUUCAAGUCGGCGGUCAAAUUUCGGGGCCCAACCCCGACCUGCCGUCGAAACUGAGAGGCUGGAGUUCGGCAGAGGCUGGCGGAAUGUGCGGUGUAGCGGUGAAAUGCAUAGAUAUCGCGCAGAACUCCGUUUGCGAAGGCGGCCAGCCAUGCCUGGACUGACGCUGAGGCACGAAAGUGUGGGUAUCGAACAGGAUUAGAUACCCUGGUAGUCCACACAGUAAACGAUGAAUACUUGCUGUUCGGUCCGAGUGGGGAUUGGGUGGCGCAGCGAAAGCGUUAAGUAUUCCACCCGGGGAGUACGCCGGCAACGGUGAAACUCAAAGGAAUUGACGGGGGCCCGCACAAGCGGAGGAACAUGUGGUUUAAUUUGAUGAUACGCGAGGAACCUUACCCGGGGUCAAACGCAGGGGGACAGCCGGUGAAAGCCGGUUUCCGGCAACGGCCGCCUGCGAGGUGCUGCAUGGUUGUUGUCAGCUUGUGCCGUGAGGGGUUGGGUUAAGUGUCAUAACGAGCGCAACCCCCGUUUCCGGUUGCUAACGGGGAGAGCCGAGGACUCCGGAGAGACUGCCGGCGCAAGGUGCGAGGAAGGCGGGGAAGACGUCAAAUCAGCCCGGCCCUUACGUCCGGGGCGACACACGUGUUACAAUGGCGGGGCACAGCGGGGUGCUGGUCGGCGACGGCCGGCGGAUCCCGAAAACCCGUCUCAGUUCGGAUUGGAGUCUGCAACCCGACUCCAUGAAGCUGGAUACGCUAGUAAUCGCGCAUCAGCCACGGCGCGGUGAAUACGUUACCGGGCCUUGCACACACCGCCCGUCA
rnacentral:rRNA from 1 species